rnacentral:rRNA from 1 species
GACAGAGGGUGCAAACGUUGUUCGGAAUUACUGGGCGUAAAGCGCGUGUAGGCUGCUCAGAAAGUCGGAUGUGAAAGCCCUGGGCUCAACCUAGGAAGUGCAUUCGAACUUCUGAGCUGGAGUUCUGGAGAGGAAGGCGGAAUUCUCGGUGUAGAGGUGAAAUUCGUAGAUAUCGAGAGGAACACCGGUGGCGAAGGCGGCCUUCUGGACAGUGACUGACGCUGAGACGCGAAAGCGUGGGGAGCAAACAGG